rnacentral:lncRNA from 1 species
AUUUUUUAAAGUGUAUGUAUAGUAGAGAGGAAGAACUGACAGCUUAGAAGAGAAAUGAUCUUUGAAUCACAGUCUGUUUUCAACCUGGUGCACUAAAAAGUUAUUACGUGCCCUUUGUCUAUUCUACCCGAUGGUAGAGAGUUAUUAUCUCACUUAACGUACAUGAGUAAUUUCAAUUGUAAGCAAAUUAAUAGAAUGACAAAACAGAAUUAAUAGAAUGAUAGGAGAUUCCUCACUUCUAGAAAAAGCUGAAAAUGCUGAGUGGUUGUUAUGUUACCUUCUGCUAUGCUGUCUACAGGACUGUUAGUCUGAUUAAUAACAUGGCCAACACUCUGACCCUUUCUUAUCCUCAGACACCUGUACUCACAUAGAGCAACAGCUCUUUGAUGUUGCUGUUUUCUGAUACUGGGCCCCAAAUUCAGAAGAAUAAAAUUGGCCUUGUGUCUUUUUCUAAGCUAGGUAACACAAAAGGUUUACCACCCAUCCCCACCCCCAAAACCCUUGACAUAGCACUCUCAAGCAUCAAAGGAUGUUAAAAACAUAGAGAUAGGGGCCAGCCCAGUGGCAUAACACUUAAAUAUGUGCACUCUGUUUCAGCCUCCUGGGGUUCACAGGUUUGGAUCCCAGAUGCGGACCUACAGACUGCUGGUCGUGCCACACUGUGGCAGCAUCCCACACACAAAAUAGAGGAAGAUUGGCACAGAUGUUAGCUCAGGGACAAUCUUCCUCAAGCAAGAAGAGGAAGAUUGGCAACAGAUGUUACCUAAGUAUAGGAGUGAGCUGUCUUUCCCAGAAAGUCAAGGUCCAGACAUCAAGACUCAGCCUCACAAGGCCAAAUGCAGUCUGAAGAUGAAAACUAACCAGAAAAGUUCAAACAGUCAAAGAAAGAGAAAGUCAGUCUUCAAGGUCAAACACAGGCUAGUGGAAAGGUGCCACCCAGCAUGGCCACAUGCUACCCCUCCCCUCUUCAAACCCCAGCACAUGCUCUCCUUCCCCUUUCUAAACCCCCUAGCUUUUUCCCUUCGAGGAGGUGGAUCUGAGUUCUAACUCCCAUCUCCUCCUCUGUCUGCCUUUCAAUAGUAAAGCUCUUUCC